GCUGGAGCCUGACCCGUCUUGGAGCCGACUAGGGAGGGAGGGCUGUGUGUCCCCUUCUUUCUUCCUUUGCCUCUGUUUUUGCUGGCCAGGGAGUGCUCCAAGGGAUGGAGUGUCUGGGGAGAGGGCAUUCUUUCCACAAGUGGGCUGGGUGGCACUUCUGGGGUCCAGCAGAUGUUUCACUUGGACUUCCUGUCUCUGGCGACCCUUGGCUACUUCUGGCCUCACGAGACGUCUUUCAGAGGAACGUAGUGUGAUCUCACCUUGGAAACAAGAGCUGCCUCAAGGCAGUGGUGCAUGCGGUGCUGACAGGUGCCAAGGGUCACUGCCUUCCCCAUGGACAUCUGGGUUAUGCUGCAAUGCCCCUGUGGGUGCAGCAGGGCCCCUAGGGUGCCUCCGUGCAACUUGGGAACCAUGGAACCAGACAGUGUGCUUCAGACAAGUAGAUAAGCACAGAAACAGAGCCGUAAGGACUGGGGGGAACGUCCAGUCCAUAGUUCCGUGUGGAACCACGAUCCACGGACGCAGCUGAGGGGCGAGUGUAGUGUACGUGCCUGUGUGCUCCAUCUCUGUGCUUACAGCCCUACAAAGUGGGAAGAGAAUGGAAGAAACAGGAGAGAAAAAGUCCCGUGUGGUUUCCCGGAAUCUUGUGGGUAGUGAGAGUCUCAGCAUUGUUAUUCCUAGCAUGUUUUGUGUGUAAUGUGAGAUGAAGCAAAUGAUUACUGAUGUGAUCUUUUAACUUUGAGGACCUUGACCAGGAUUUUCAGUGGGGAGGAGAAAGGAGAUAUGGAGGAAAGGUGCUGUGGGUUAAGAAAGCCUCUGGAGGCUGGGCGCGGUGGCUUAUGCCUGUAAUCCCAGCACUUUGGGAGGCCGAGGCAGGUGGAUCACGAGGUCAGGAGAUCGAGACCAUCCUGGCUAACACGGUGAAACCCUGUCUCUACUAAAAAUACAAAAAAAAAAAAAAAAAAAAAAAAUUAACGUGGCGUGGUGGCGGGCGCCUGUAGUCCCAGCUACUCCGAAGGCUGAGGCAGGAGAAUGGAGAAUGGCAUGAACCCGGGAGGUGGAGCUUACAGUGAACCGAGAUCGCGCCACUGCACUCCAGCCUGGGUGACAGAGUGAGACUCUGUAUCAAAAAAAAAAAAAAAAAAAAAAAAAGAAAAAGAAAAACAAAGCCUCUGGAAUCCGGAACUACAAAUCCAUAAAUAACCCUAGAGCGUUCCCUGGAGAGGCCUGGAAUCAGUGGCCAACCCAAUCACAGGGAGCACCCCCAGUCCCGGGUCGUGUCUUGAAAUUCAGUUUUCUGCUGAAAGAAGCUGGGACUACUUGGACAAAUGGUUGAUACCGGGUUGGGGGCAGGAAAUGUACAGGUUGAACCUAAACACUUUGUCAUAGCAGAUAAUAAAGGAGCCACGUUGGACUGUGAGGAUGUGAUUCUGCUGAGAGAGGGCAUUAAAAGAAGAAAAAAACUAUUAAAGUCAAAGACCACAAGGAUAGUGUUAAAAGGACUCGUGAGCUCACCUGAUGAGGCCAGAGACGGACAAUUUGAACAUCAGUAAGAGUAAAAAUCACAGUGGGUUGAAAUGUAUGCAGUAUGUUUAAAUCCGUGAGUUUUUAACAAUGCUCAGGAAACAAACCUAAUCCGUCACCUUUGGAGAAUGCUAGGGAACCAAUUAUUUAUUUUUGAACAUUGGUAAAUAAGGGAAAGCUCUGAAAUAUGUAUCCUGCUUUUCUUAUGCAGGCUGCACUACUGGGUGAGCAGGUGGCAGGUUG
ensembl:lncRNA